CGGAGUAUUCCCGAUGCAGCAGGAGCGGCGGCUGGAUCGCAGGCCCUGCGAGGGCGGAGAGGGAGAGGCCAGCUGCGCCCGGGCGCCGGGACCUCCGACUUCCGACACUGAGGCGCGCUGGCUUCCCCGGGCGCGCGCCGCUGGUACGCGUAGGGCUCCCAGGCUCCGGGAGCGGAAGAGCCUUGCUCAAGGCCACCUGCCACAGUGUCCUCGCCUAGCCCAGGACUGCUGCCUGGACCAGAGGACCGAGGCUCUGAGAUUCUGCACACAGGGGCAUCUGCAGCGAAAGUCCACUCCCAGCCAGCCCCCGAGUGCUGAACGCCUGGCUUCAAGUCCCACAGACACGGAGAUGGGUACAAGGCUCCUGGCCUGGAGACCCCACAGGCCAUGCAAGUGUGGCCGACGAAGGGACAGCAUGCAACCCGGAGUGGGCUGGAGUGGGGCAUGCACUGGACACUCCGUGGGCACCUGGCUGAGAGGGACUGCAGUCUUCAUAGAGGGUGGGGCCGUCUGGGAAAGCUUUCUGGACUGGGUGGCCCUGGAGCUAGGCCCGGACAGAUGAACGGGUUUUUAUUUGUCAUCUGGGGAAGAGCUCUCGGGCAGAAGGUGCAGCAUGGCAGAGGCCAGGCCAGCGGGGACCAGGCUGGGAGGGCCCAGGAGGUGUGAUGGGACAAGUGGAGUCGGGGUACUGGCAGCUGCACCGUGGCAAGCAGGAAGGCCAAGCUCAGACCCUCAGAGCCCCAGGCUCAGAGGCCAUCCUUCCCAGGUCAGUGUUCUGGAACUCCUCAAGAAGAAGAGGCCUCUCUGCCUAAGGGUGAGCCCCAGUCAUUCCUAGUUCCCCAUGUGCAACUAAGUCCUGGGUGCUGGUGGGCAGGAGACACUCUGAGUUGCCUCAGUUUCCCCCACAGGGUCCAGGUAGUCCCCAUAUGCUUGAGCUGUGCUGAGCCUUCAUGGGUUAAUGCUCCCAGGAAACCCAAGACCGGAGGUCACCCUCCCCUCCUUGAUUCCCACCGCUGAACUGGGCCUCCCAGCACCGGCUCUCCAUUCCCACUUCCACCUCUGCACCAGGCUCUCUUUUUAGAAGUGAACUUGUGCACUGCCUGGGCCACCAAACCAGCCUCAUAUCCUUGCACAAGUGUCCAUCUGUCUUUCCAGGCCCCCCAACCUGGGGCUGAUCCCCAAGGAGCCCCCUUCCAAGUGCAGGGCCCCUUGCUGCCUCCCUCCACACCCACUUACCCCUGGCCUUCCCCAGACAGCUCCCCCUACACACCCGUCCCCCAGCCAAGCUGGGGGUGGGGGGAAGUGAUGGGGCUAAUUACCCCUGGGUGAUAAUUAUUCAGUUGAUAAUCACAGGCUCUAUCACCCCUCCCCAGGCCCCAUUUCCGGUGACCUCAAAAGCUGCAGGUGCUAAUGUUCAAUGUCAUAAAGCCAGGUCAUCAGGUCGAGGCAGAGCUGGGGCUGAAGAGGGGUGACCAGUUUCUUUUCCUGGUUUAGCACUGGAGUCCCACCUCCCAGAAAUCCCAGGGAAACAGAACACUCGGUCCCCUGGCUGGAACCCGGGUCCCCCUGCCUGGCCCAGAGCUCUGCAGCCUCAGACCACUCGCUGAGGUCUUUCACCUCCACACGAGGCAGGUGUUCCAGAAACCGUGCCCCAAAGGAUGCCAAGGUCUCUGUGUCUGGCUGGUCAGGGAGCAGCCUCGAUAGCCUCUCACCCCACUCUCUAAAGCCUCCCACCAGGCUGACGCCACAGACCCUCAGACCGGAGCCAGCCCUGCCUGGCGCCGCCCACCCAGGUCAGCGUCCCUUACCCAGGUCAGUGCACAGCGUGGCCAGAAGCAGAAGCACCAGGAGUGGCCUCAUUGUGGGGUAUCCUCCAGCUGGGACUGGGGAAGAGCCAGCAGCAGGCGCCUUUAUAUGGCUGGCUUCCCGGCCAGAGCAGACCUAGUAAUUUAGCUGGAGAUGAGCUUGGGUCAGCCAGGCCAGUCUGACUCACGCUGCCUGGGCUUCCCUUUGCCCUGCCCCCACAGUCCCCAGGGGCUCUCAGAGGCUCCCCUGUGCCUCGCCCCCCUCUUUCUGUUCUGAACCAUCCAUCUCCCUGUCUCUGCCAUCAUCACGAGGCCCAGGUUGAGCUGGGAGGACAGGAGGAGGCGCAGGCAUAGUGUCUGUGGUGGCAACCCGCUCUGGGAGUCUUAGGGACAGGGCCCUGCCUGGGGUCUGGGGAACACAGUCCCCCAGAGCUCUUCCAAGUAGGCAUAGCCAUCUCUCCCAUGCUUCUCCCCUGGGCCAGAGCAAGCAGGGAGGCACCAGACUCAUUUUAAUGGAGAAACUGAGGCAUCACAGGCUUCAAGCUGGCUUUGGACCACCUGGAGCUCUGCUAAAUGCUGCUGUGAUUAGAAAACCCGGGCAGAACAUGAGCCCGCAUUCCUAACAAGAUCCUUGAGGAGCUGGUGCUGCUGGUCUGGGGGCCAACUAACCAGAGGCGAGCAGAGCCAGGGGGUACCUGACAUCCUGUUGGGAGCUGCGACACUGCCCAUCAGGCCUCCAGGCCAGGCUUGUGGGAAAGAGGGUGACCAGGGUGCCCUGGGGGGUGCAGCCUGCUCACAGUGGGCGGCCUGCGUUUGGUAUCUUGUGGGGGGCGCUCACAUCUCCUGAUGUCUCUACUCCAUGCGCUCCGGGGGCCUCCAGCCUCUCUCUCCUGGCAGCUGUGGUCCCCUGCCCAGUGACCACAGCCACCCCUCUGGAUGCAGCUCUGACUGGGUCUGUCUGCCAGGAGUCAGCGCCAUCUGCUCUUGGUGACCUCCUGCGGCCACGAGCCAUGGCAAUGACCAGGCCAUGCCCAGCAGCCCAUGGCUUCCCUGACCUGAAGCCCAGCCUUGCCUGGAGCUGUCCUGACAGACAGAUUGGACUCUGAUGCCUGGGUGCCUUUCCAGAUUUUGCCUGAGCACUCAGCCCAAGCCUGAAUAAAUUCUUUGAUCUUCUUGGA